UAAAACUUAAUAGUACCACAGAAAUGGGAGUUAAUUUAUUUACCUAAGUUCCUUCUUCAUUGGAAAGACAAAUAUGACACAAAGCAGAAAACAGACUGAAGACAUCAGAGAUUUCUCUCCUCUCCAUUCCACAGGAGCCUAGAACCAUGAAGCUCUUCCUUAUAACUUUCCUAAUGGCUUUCCUGGCUAUCCAGGCUGUAAGUACUCAGGGAAAUGGAGAAGGGGCUGGUGUUGGGAGCCCUCUUUCCAAAAAUGGUCCUUUAGCAUCUGGAGACUUGGCUUUAUAUUUGCAUUCCCAUGUUUCUGGAUUAGUAAAUUUUAAUUUAUUGUUUUGUUUUGUUUUUACUAUCUGUACUGGUCUCUGAAGAAUCCAGAAAAAUUCCUUAUGUCUGUAGCCUCAGCUAACAAACUCUUCAUUUUAUACUCACAGCUUUUUCCUGCCCUUAAAGAGAUUGGUUCUACAUUUCCCCAAAAUAAAGUAGAGAUAAUCAAUGUUUAUCUAGCUAUUUGAGACAAAAUUCUGCUCUUCCCUCAGUGUUGGGGUAACUCAUUCCAUAAUUCAGAGAGUUAACUCAAUUCACUGCUUGGGUGUGGGGUGUUUUUUUUCCAAACACAUGUCAUUUAACUGAGUCUGUUGAUCUUUUUCUUUUCCAAAGAGAGCUGACAGCAGUUCUUCAUCUGAAGAGGAUAGUAGGUCUCAUGAACAUUCUGAACAUUCUGAAGAUCAUGAGAGUGCUGGAUAUGCUUCAAAUCCUGGAAGUGUUGGAGGUCCUGAGAAUCCUGGAUAUGAUCCAAAUCCUGGAAUUCCCUCAUAUUAAGAAAUCUUCAAAAUGCACCCUGAGGAGAACCUCAAUAAACACAGGUUUGCCUGGAAGACUGAUUCAAUCCUUCUAUGAAUCUACAAGUCUACUAAUUUGUGAAUCUCUCAAUCUGCCUACUUAGCAGCCUCUAUUAUUGAGCAUUAGACGGUAGCUCCAAGCUUGUUAUAUUAACAUGAAUCAUUCCCCCAAAGGGCUAAAGCUCUCCUUUAUACUCUCUAUAUAAUAAAUUCAGCUCACAGCAUAUUGGAUGUCUUUUG
ensembl:lncRNA